GAUGAACGCUAGCUACAGGCUUAACACAUGCAAGUCGAGGGGCAGCAUCAUUAAAGCUUGCUUUGAUGGAUGGCGACCGGCGCACGGGUGAGUAACACGUAUCCAACCUGCCGACAACACUGGGAUAGCCUUUCAAAAGAAAGAUUAAUACCGGAUGGCAUAGUCUUCCCGCAUGGGAUGACUAUUAAAGAAUUUCGGUUGUCGAUGGGGAUGCGUUCCAUUAGGCAGUUGGCGGGGUAACGGCCCACCAAACCAACGAUGGAUAGGGGUUCUGAGAGGAAGGUCCCCCACAUUGGAACUGAGACACGGUCCAAACUCCUACGGGAGGCAGCAGUGAGGAAUAUUGGUCAAUGGACGAGAGUCUGAACCAGCCAAGUAGCGUGAAGGAUGACUGCCCUAUGGGUUGUAAACUUCUUUUAUACGGGAAUAAAGUGAGCCACGUGUGGCUUUUUGUAUGUACCGUACGAAUAAGGAUCGGCUAACUCCGUGCCAGCAGCCGCGGUAAUACGGAGGAUCCGAGCGUUAUCCGGAUUUAUUGGGUUUAAAGGGAGCGUAGGCGGGUUGUUAAGUCAGUUGUGAAAGUUUGCGGCUCAACCGUAAAAUUGCAGUUGAUACUGGCGACCUUGAGUGCAACAGAGGUAGGCGGAAUUCGUGGUGUAGCGGUGAAAUGCUUAGAUAUCACGAAGAACUCCGAUUGCGAAGGCAGCUUACUGGAUUGUAACUGACGCUGAUGCUCGAAAGUGUGGGUAUCAAACAGGAUUAGAUACCCUGGUAGUCCACACAGUAAACGAUGAAUACUCGCUGUUGGCGAUAUACGGUCAGCGGCCAAGCGAAAGCAUUAAGUAUUCCACCUGGGGAGUACGCCGGCAACGGUGAAACUCAAAGGAAUUGACGGGGGCCCGCACAAGCGGAGGAACAUGUGGUUUAAUUCGAUGAUACGCGAGGAACCUUACCCGGGCUUAAAUUGCAACUGACUGAACCGGAAACGGUUCUUUCUUCGGACAGUUGUGAAGGUGCUGCAUGGUUGUCGUCAGCUCGUGCCGUGAGGUGUCGGCUUAAGUGCCAUAACGAGCGCAACCCCUGUCCAUAGUUGCCAUCAGGUUUAGCUGGGCACUCUGUGGAGACUGCCGCCGUAAGGUGUGAGGAAGGUGGGGAUGACGUCAAAUCAGCACGGCCCUUACGUCCGGGGCUACACACGUGUUACAAUGGGGCAUACAGCGAGUUGGAUGUGCGCAAGUACGUCCGGAUCAAUAAAGUGCCUCUCAGUUCGGACUGGGGUCUGCAACCCGACCCCACGAAGCUGGAUUCGCUAGUAAUCGCGCAUCAGCCAUGGCGCGGUGAAUACGUUCCCGGGCCUUGCACA
rnacentral:rRNA from 1 species